rnacentral:lncRNA from 1 species
GCCGCUGUCGCCGAGCGUCGGAGCCCGAGGGGCCGCGGCCGCGCGCCGCGGGGGGAGGAGAUGGUCUGGAGUCCCCCCGCUGCGCCGGGGAUGGGGAGACGGAGGACUGCAGCGCCCCUUGGGGCUUCUGAGGCGCCCAGGUAACCUCACCUGGCCGCCAGUCUCCCGCAGGAGGAACAGACACGUUGGUUCCACACCGAACCUAUUAACAGCUCAACUUCAAAUAUUUGGCAGAGGUGGGAUUGCUGUUCACUAAGGUUAUAUGAGCCAGCUUGGUUACUCAAAUGUGAAAAUGCAUAUUUUCCAGCCUGUGGCAAGGUGGAAACAUCAGGGCAGAAGAACAUAACUGAUAAUAGCUGUUCACACCUAAGUAGCCAGGAAGCAGAGAGAAAUGGAGACCAGCCUACGAGGACACAUUCCUAGUGACCUUCUUCCCAACUUUGGGUGUCCACCAAUUCACAAGAACACCAUUAAUUACGAAUUCAUCAACAAAUCAAUUCAUCAAUUAAGUUAAAGCUCCCAUGUGCAAUCACUUCCCUACAUCCUCCCGUCUGAACAUCCUCACCAUUGAGAAUCAAGCCUUCAACACGAGUCUGGGCACAAUAAGUCACAUUGAAUCCAUUGAAGAUGUAAAUUUUAACGGUUGAAAGUGACAAGCAUAGUAUGUCUGUGAAAGUCAGUAAAGGGAAUAUGGAAGGGAACGUGUACUAAAACUAAGGGUUCUGGAACGCAUCUGUGCUCUUCCUAUCAAUCUGGAGAGUGUGACAAGGAAGUCUUAAGUUCAAGGCCAGCUGGGCUAUGUAGUGUAUGCUACCAUUGACUAUAUAAUCUGACUCCAGCAUUACAAGAAGUAGAGUAAAUAAAAGAUUAAAAAAAAUAGUGACUAUAGAAGUAUCAAGAUAUUAUGACUCAUUCAUAUGAUUUCUGCAAUUGAUUUAGUAUGGCAUAUGAUUUAGUAAUCAAAGUGGAUGAAGAUGAUAUAUAUGCAUUAAUAAGAAUAAGUAUGCGAGACUGAACACAGAAUGUCCACUAGACACUGGGCAGUAAUUAGAUUCAACUCUUGUAAAAAUGUUCAACAGGAAGAAAAAAACCUAUAACUUUGCUUUAUACUUGGAUAGUUACUUUCAGUCAUACGGGUAUGGAAUAAAAUGAAAGGAAAAUGCAGAUGGGAUCUGAAGGCCAGCCUUCUAUUAUACUAUUAAAUUGUAGUGCAGGAAAGAAGAAGAGUUUGUUGUAUUUGAUGUUUUAUGAGGUUUUGUUUUUGUUUUUGAAGCAUCUGUUGUUUCACAGAUGCUGUUAAAUGUUGAACAUGACACAAUAAAAAGAAACAGACAAAAGUCACUGUCCUUGUGGAACUAGUAUGAAGAAAAAUCAGAUGUUAAUAAAGCAAUCAUUCACAAGA